rnacentral:rRNA from 1 species
ACUCAAAUGAAUAGACGGGGGCCCGCACAAGCGGCGGAGCAUGCGGCUUAAUUCGAUGCAACGCGAAGAACCUUACCUAGGCUUGACAGUUGGGGAAAUCUGGCAGAGAUGUCAGGUCCGCAAGGGCCCCAAAACAGGUGGUGCAUGGCUGUCGUCAGCUCGUGUCGUGAGAUGUUGGGUUAAGUCCCGCAACGAGCGCAACCCUCGUCGUAUGUUGCCAGCAAGUAAAGUUGGGGACUCAUACGAGACUGCCGGGGUCAACUCGGAGGAAGGUGGGGAUGACGUCAAGUCAUCAUGCCCCUUAUGUCUAGGGCUGCACGCAUGCUACAAUGGCUGGUACAAAGGGCUGCGAUACCGCGAGGUGGAGCGAAUCCCAAAAAGCCAGUCUCAGUUCGGAUUGGGGUCUGCAACUCGACCCCAUGAAGUCGGAGUCGCUAGUAAUCGCAGAUCAGCAACGCUGCGGUGAAUACGUUCCCGGGCCUUGCACACACCGCCCGU